GACGAACGCUGGCGGUGUGCUUCACACAUGCAAGUCGAACGAGGUAGCAAUACCUAGUGGCGGACGGGUGAGUAACGCGUGGGAAUCUGCCUUUAGAUGGGGGGAUAACGGGUCGAAAGACUCGCUAAUACCGCAUAUGGCGAAAGUUGAAAGGAGUAAUCCGUCUAAAGAUGAGCCCGCGUCCGAUUAGCUAGUUGGUAGAGUAAAAGCCUACCAAGGCGACGAUCGGUAGCUGGUCUGAGAGGAUGAUCAGCCACAAUGGGACUAGAAGACACGGCCCAUACUCCUACGGGAGGCAGGCACGUGGGAAUUUUACGGCAAUGGCGAAAGCCUGACGUAGCGACACCGCGUGAGCGAAGAAG
rnacentral:rRNA from 1 species